UACGUAGGGGGCAAGCGUUGUCCGGAUUUAUUGGGCGUAAAGAGCGUGUAGGCGGCCUGAAAGGUCAGCUGUGAAAACUCGAGGCUCAACCUCGAGACGUCGGUUGAAACCAUCUGGCUAGAGUCCGGAAGAGGAGUGUGGAAUUCCCGGUGUAGCGGUGAAAUGCGUAGAUAUCGGAAGGAACACCUGUGGCGAAAGCGGCUCACUGGACCAUUACUGACGCUGAGGCACGAAAGCUAGGGGAGCAAACAGG
rnacentral:rRNA from 1 species